AGAGUUUGAUCCUGGCUCAGAUUGAACGCUGGCGGAAUGCUUUACACAUGCAAGUCGAACGGCAGCACGGGGGCAACCCUGGUGGCGAGUGGCGAACGGGUGAGUAAUGUAUCGGAACGUGCCCAGUCGUGGGGGAUAACUAUCCGAAAGGAUAGCUAAUACCGCAUACGACCUGAGGGUGAAAGCGGGGGACCCCAAGGGUAACUGAGGGGCCUCGCGCGAUUGGAGCGGCCGAUAUCGGAUUAGCUAGUUGGUGGGGUAAAGGCUCACCAAGGCGACGAUCCGUAGCGGGUCUGAGAGGACGACCCGCCACACUGGAACUGAGACACGGUCCAGACUCCUACGGGAGGCAGCAGUGGGGAAUUUUGGACAAUGGGCGCAAGCCUGAUCCAGCCAUUCCGCGUGAGUGAAGAAGGCCUUCGGGUUGUAAAGCUCUUUCAGUGGGAACGAAACGGUCGAUCCUAAUACGGUCGGCUAAUGACGGUACCUGCAGAAGAAGCACCGGCUAACUACGUGCCAGCAGCCGCGGUAAUACGUAGGGUGCGAGCGUUAAUCGGAAUUACUGGGCGUAAAGCGUGCGCAGGCGGUGACAUAAGACAGAUGUGAAAUCCCCGGGCUCAACCUGGGAACUGCGUUUGUGACUGUGUCGCUCGAGUGUAGCAGAGGGGGGUGGAAUUCCACGUGUAGCAGUGAAAUGCGUAGAGAUGUGGAGGAACACCGAUGGCGAAGGCAGCCCCCUGGGUUAACACUGACGCUCAUGCACGGAAGCGUGGGGAGCAAACAGGAUUAGAUACCCUGGUAG
rnacentral:rRNA from 1 species